AGCGAACGCUGGCGGCAGGCUUAACACAUGCAAGUCGAGCGGGCACUUCGGUGUCAGCGGCCUCCGGGUUAGUAACACGUUGGAACGUACCCUUUGGUUCGGAAUAACGCUGGGAAACUAGCGCUAAUACCGGAUCCGCCCUUUUGGGGAAAGGCUUGCUGCCUAAGGAUCUGCCCGCGUCUGAUUAGCUUGUUCUUAGGGUAAUGGCCUACCAAGGCGACGAUUAGUAGCUGGUCUGAGAGGAUGAUCAGCCACACUGGGACUGGGACACGGCCCAGACUCCUACGGGAGGCAGCAGUGGGGAAUAGUGGACAAUGGGCGCAAGCCUGAUCCAGCCAGGACGCGUGAGUGAUGAAGGCCUGAGGGUUGUAAAGCGCAAGUGUCCGGGAAGAUAAUGACGGUACCGGAAGAAUAAGCCCCGGCUAACUUCGUG
rnacentral:rRNA from 1 species